rnacentral:rRNA from 1 species
CCUACGGGAGGCAGCAGUGAGGAAUAUUGGUCAAUGGGCGUAAGCCUGAACCAGCCAAGUCGCGUGAGGGAUGAAGGUUCUAUGGAUCGUAAACCUCUUUUAUAAGGGAAUAAAGUGCGGGACGUGUCCCGUUUUGUAUGUACCUUAUGAAUAAGGAUCGGCUAACUCCGUGCCAGCAGCCGCGGUAAUACGGAGGAUCCGAGCGUUAUCCGGAUUUAUUGGGUUUAAAGGGUGCGUAGGCGGCCUUUUAAGUCAGCGGUGAAAGUCUGUGGCUCAACCAUGGAAUUGCCGUUGAAACUGGGAGGCUUGAGUAUGUUUGAGGCAGGCGGAAUGCGUGGUGUAGCGGUGAAAUGCUUAGAUAUCACGCAGAACCCCGAUUGCGAAGGCAGCUUGCCAGGCCAUGACUGACGCUGAUGCACGAAAGCGUGGGGAUCAAACAGGAUUAGAUACCCGUGUAGUC